rnacentral:rRNA from 1 species
GUGCCAGCAGCCGCGGUAAUACGUAGGUGGCAAGCGUUGUCCGGAUUUAUUGGGCGUAAAGGGAACGCCAGUGGUUUCUUAAGUCUGAUGUGAAAGCCCACGGCUCUAUUCGUGGAGGGUCAUUGGAAACUGGGAAACUUGAGUACAGAAGAGGAAUGUGGAACUCCAUGUGUAGCGGUGGAAUGCGUAGAUAUAUGGAAGAACACCAGUGGCGAAGGCGACAUUCUGGUCUGUUACUGACACUGAGGCUCGAAAGCGUGGGGAGCAAACAGGAUUAGAUACCCUGGUAGUCC